UGUCACCAUAGAUAAUGGCAGUAUGACAUGAACCAGGUUCGGUGGACAGGGAGGAGGCCGGCAAGGCCCGUCUGAUCCAAGCCCUCCCUUUGUCCCAUUGUUCCUGGGAUCUGCUGAGCCAAGAUCUGCUCAGCAAACCUUUACCCUUCCUGUUCUUCCUGUGCCUGGCCUUCCUUCCCUCUGAGGCCCCAGACCCUUUCGUCCUUAGCCCAGAAUGACAUAGAUACCUCAUCUUGCCUGACUGUCUUUGGAAUCUCUCACAUUUAUGUGGGUUCUCUGCAUGGAUGUAAUUAAAUUUGAUUUUCUCUUAUUAAUCUGUCUCGUAUCAAUUAAUUUGCAGAGCAGCCAGAAGAACCUCGAGGGGCAGAGGAAGAUUUUUCCUCCUCAGUAGUUGGCCUAACUGGCAGAAUAGACUUCCCUGGCCAGAGACGCUGCAGAGGAGAGAUCCUAGGACGAACCGCCCAGCAGAGGUGAAAGAAGCAUGGCACACACUGACGGACGAGCCUUGCCAUCCCUUCCGACCGGGAGACUGGGCGUGCAUCAAGGUCUUUAGAAGCAAGCAUGUGCUGUCACCUUGCUGGGACAGACCUUAUGAGGUACAGCUAACCACCCACACUGCUAUCAAAAUAAAAGAAAAAUCCUCCUGGGUUCACGCAAACCAUGCCAAAGCAGACCCAGAUCACCGCUCUCAAGACCACUGGAGACAAGCCUUACAGGUCGCAUGCAGAGUGCACAUCCCCUGGGCCAGGUGACCGCACCCAGCCCCAAUACCGGAUGGCCCUGCUCCUGGGACUGGGAAGCUGCUCUAAGGAGCCGCGGGGACAUGUGUUUCCACUUGUUCUUUCCUGUUUGUCCUCGUUAUAAUCCUUGUCUUCCCUCCCAUGGUGGCUCCCUCGCCACUCAGCGACUAGCCCAUUUUCCCUCUCCACAGUCACAGGCUCAGCUUUUAAGAUGUGAAACUUCCAGGGGGAGUUUCAGAGGCGGGAACCCUGGAGGUUCAGAACGAGUUGCCCUAAGAUGUGCUACUUUGGCAUGUGAAUUAUUUCGAACUGAAAACAACCAAGGCCCACAAGACUCAGGAAGAAACGUCAACUUCCCCACUUCCCCAACUGCCUACAAUGUUGUUUUAGAGAGGACCUGCUCCAGGAAGGGAGCUGUCACCAUAGAUAAUGGCAGUAUGACAUGAACCAGGUUCGGUGGACAGGGAGGAGGCCGGCAAGGCCCGUCUGAUCCAAGCCCUCCCUUUGUCCCAUUGUUCCUGGGAUCUGCUGAGCCAAGAUCUGCUCAGCAAACCUUUACCCUUCCUGUUCUUCCUGUGCCUGGCCUUCCUUCCCUCUGAGGCCCCAGACCCUUUCGUCCUUAGCCCAGAAUGACAUAGAUACCUCAUCUUGCCUGACUGUCUUUGGAAUCUCUCACAUUUAUGUGGGUUCUCUGCAUGGAUGUAAUUAAAUUUGAUUUUCUCUUAUUAAUCUGUCUCGUAUCAAUUAAUUUGCAGAGCAGCCAGAAGAACCUCGAGGGGCAGAGGACAUUUUUCUUCCCCAGCACUUUCAAUGACCUGGCGAGGCCACUUGCAGAGGUGACAGGGAGGCGGUGCCACAGAGGUCACAUAGAUGUGGGUCCAAAUUCUGGUUCUGCCAAGUCGUCUCACUUCUCAGAGCCUCCAUUUCCUCAUCUGUAAAGUUGAGGUUGAGAUGCAGCAAGAAUCAAAAUAGACAAUCAAUAGAAAGUGCUUAACACAGUGUCUGCCUGGCAUAGCCCGGUGCAAUCCGUUAGUGUGGGCAUUAUUAGUCUUCUUAUUAGCCUUAUAGAACCCUCCAGUCCUGAGUGGUGCAGAUUUUGCCCUGGGACCCACAAGCAUGGACAGAGGUGCCUGCCCACUUGGUCUGCCUUUGCAAAGGUCUAUGGCUGAUCAGUCUUAACCCCGGUGUGGUAGAAAGAAGCCCAGGUUGGACUCAGAAGACCCGAUGGAAAGCCGGGCUCUGUGGUGUGCCCACCGUGGGACCUUGAUGGAAUUCUUUUACUUCUCUGAGCCUCAGUUCCCUCACUGGCCUAUCUACACACCUUUCAGGGCUGUAGCAAGGCUCAAUGCCAUGAAAUCCUGAGUAUGACACUCCUCUGUAGAUAAGGUGGUAUUGCAAAGAUGUCAGGGCUGGGCUUCCUUCCUCCUCUCCCUGAUGCCCUGGCCAGCUCCCUUGCAACCUGCUGACUGACCAGCAGCAGGGCCCUGCCUGUGCCACCCCAGAGUCUGCCUUGAGUCGGCCUAAUGUUAGCUGCUGGAGGAUUGCACCAUGGCUGUAGCCAUAGCCCCAGUAAUUUGCAUGUUUAUGUCACAAUUUUAGCUAAAUGACUUUCAGUUCAUAGGUGGAGUCACCCAGCUACAUGCAGGAUGAAAUUCCUGCUUGGCCACACUCUGCACCUUGGACUCCAGUUAAGAUGGAACAUGCACAUAUGGGCUUUACUUUUUUUUUAAGAUUUAUUUAUUUAU